rnacentral:rRNA from 1 species
UACGUAGGGCGCAAGCGUUAUCCGGAAUUAUUGGGCGUAAAGAGCUCGUAGGCGGUUUGUCGCGUCGAAUGUGAAAACCCGGGGCUCAACCCCGGGCCUGCAUUCGAUACGGGCAGACUAGAGUUCGGUAGGGGAGUCUGGAAUUCCUGGUGUAGCGGUGAAAUGCGCAGAUAUCAGGAGGAGCACCGGUGGCGAAGGCGGGACUCUGGGCCGAUACUGACGCUGAGGAGCGAAAGCGUGGGGAGCGAACAGG